GAUGAACGCUGGCGGCGUGCUUAACACAUGCAAGUCGAACGGUGAAGCAGGAGCUUGCUCUUGUGGAUCAGUGGCGAACGGGUGAGUAACACGUGAGCAACCUGCCCCUGACUCUGGGAUAAGCGCUGGAAACGGCGUCUAAUACUGGAUAUGUGAUGUGACCGCAUGGUCUGCAUCUGGAAAGAAUUUCGGUUGGGGAUGGGCUCGCGGCCUAUCAGCUUGUUGGUGAGGUAAUGGCUCACCAAGGCGUCGACGGGUAGCCGGCCUGAGAGGGUGACCGGCCACACUGGAACUGAGACACGGUCCAGAAUCCUACGGGAGGCAGCAGUGGGGAAUAUUGCACAAUGGGCGAAAGCCUGAUGCAGCAAUGCCGCGUGAGGGAUGAAGGCCUUCGGGUUGUAAACCUCUUUUAGCAGGGAAGAAGCGAAAGUGACGGUACCUGCAGAAAAAGCACCGGCUAACUACGUGCCAGCCGCCGCCGUAA
rnacentral:rRNA from 1 species